CCUACGGGGGGCUGCAGUGGGGAAUAUUGGACAAUGGGGGGAACCCUGAUCCAGCCAUGCCGCGUGUGUGAAGAAGGCCCUCGGGUUGUAAAGCACUUUCAGUGAGGAAGAACGCCUGGUGGUUAAUACCCAUCAGGAAAGACAUCACUCACAGAAGAAGCACCGGCUAACUCCAUGCCAGCAGCCGCGGUAAUACGGAGGGUGCGAGCGUUAAUCGGAAUUACUGGGCGUAAAGCGCGCGUAGGUGGCUUGAUAAGCCGGUUGUGAAAGCCCCGGGCUCAACCUGGGAACGGCAUCCGGAACUGUCAAGCUAGAGUGCAGGAGAGGAAGGUAGAAUUCCCGGUGUAGCGGUGAAAUGCGUAGAGAUCGGGAGGAAUACCAGUGGCGAAGGCGGCCUUCUGGACUGACACUGACACUGAGGUGCGAAAGCGUGGGUAGCAAACAGGAUUAGAUACCCGAGUAGUC
rnacentral:rRNA from 1 species